rnacentral:tRNA from 2 species
GCGCCCGUAGCUCAGUAUGGAUAGAGCGUUGGCCUCCGGAGCCAAAAGUCGCAGGUUCAAAUCCUGUCGGGCGCGCCA